rnacentral:lncRNA from 1 species
UUUUUUUUUGGUUAGAAAUCUGUACUAAUUGUAGAUCUAGAAGAAACUAAAAAUUUAACUAGAAAAUCCACACAGACGGUGCCAAAUUGUUUGACCAAAAAAUAAUAUAUACUUUCGGUUAAACUAUUAAGUUUAAUGUAACGAAGGGUUAAACCUAAUUAGUGAUAAUAUCUCUAGAUUUAGAACUUGACAACACAAGUAAUAUGAGAUGACGUUAAUGAGGAACUGAAAGUAGUGCACAUUUAAUAUUCCAAAGGAUGUAAGUAAUAAUGGAGGAAUAUCAAGCAAUAAAUAGUAAUAAAUGGUAUUUAUAUAAAUAAGGGGAAUGAUUCACCCAAUAAUGAAUGAGGUGGAUGAUUCUUCCUUCUGGUAAUGAUGAAAGGCAGGCAAAUCCUAGAAUAUUUGAACUAUUCUCGGAUCUGAUGGAAAAGUAUGGAAUAAUAGAAUCUUGAUGAAAAGGUAGAGUUUGUAUUUUUGUUAGAGAGAAAAUCUUCUCCUCAAAAAGUGUUCUUAUCCAAUGAAAAACUACAUGCCCUACACUAUUGUUUCUCUUUCUAUUUAUAUGAGAUAUAUCUCUAAUCAACCCUAAUAGUACAAGUGUUAUGUCCUUGGUGCUCGACCUCGAUCAUUGUUGAUGAAAAGGUAGAGUUUGUAUUUUUGUUAGAGAGAAAAUCUUCUCCUCAAAAAGUGUUCUUAUCCAAUGAAAAUUACAUUCCCUACAUUAUUGUUUCUCUUUCUAUUUAUAUGAGAUAUAUCCCUAAUCAACCCUAAUAGUACAAGUGUAAUAUUCUUGGUGCUCGACCUCGAUCAUUGUUGACUGCCCGACCACGAAUCCCACUAUUUCCUGGUCGACCUCGACUGCAUCUUUUUACUUAAUGCCACUUUAUGCUAAAUUUUCUUAGGGCAGAUUUUGGCCUAUACAGACGCGAAAUAAUACACAAACACACUCAAAAUAUCUAUUUUUCAUCCCUUAUCAACAGGUUAACCGUUAACUACUACAAUAGGUAAAGAUGACUAACAAUGUACAUAAUAUGAAAGUUAAAUACCUUUCCGACAUAGGAGUAUUUGUUAUAACUUCCAAUCCUGUAUCUACAUAUCUUUAGCAGGGCAUCCUCAAUUUAAGAUGUCUCAAUUUUGUUACUAUAUGGAAGCAAAAAGAGUGGCAGUCCCAUCAUCUGCCCGGUACCGAUAAGAACAAGAAGAGUGAGAAACAGAAGGCAAAGUAAAAAAUUUCCCAAACUGGUCGAUAUAAUCCAAAUGAAGCCCAAAAAAAAUAUUAAACAAAAAGAAAAUAUUACCAUCGAAGUGCAAGGCAGGCAUGUCGUCCAGGUGUGUGCUAAGUCCCUCUUAUUAGUUAGUAGAAUAUGUUCAACCAGCCAAAAAUGAAAUAAUCCUCAACCGUUUGAAUUUUGCCUCAGUUUAGAUCCUUCUGUUUUAAGCUUACAAGUCUGGUGUUAGCCAAAAUACCGGAUCCAGUAUGACCCACUUAAUUCCUCUUCCUUUUCACUUAUUGCUCGUCCAAAUACGCUCGUGCAGUUCUCUCCACAAGAAAUGCUUUUCAUCAUUCUUUACUAAUUCUUUCUGGAACCAAAUGAGGACCAAUUUCAACAGAGUUGCAGUCCUUGUGGUUGACAUAUAAUUGGACCAACAUAACAAAAAGGAUAUUUCCUUGUUCCCUACAGCCUUCACCUUUAAGCAACGGUAACAUUCCAGCCGUUUGCUUUUCAUAAAAGUGCUCCAAUUCCAUUGUCACAGCCUUAAUUAGAUUAAUAGGUAUACAAUAAUAUAAAACAUCACCGCCAUUUUCUGAAGUUGAAGAUGCAGCCAUCCACCAUAAAAUAAAAUAAGUGGAAUUAGAAUAGUAGUAGCCAAACAUUGAAGUUUAGACGAAUGCUCACGUUAUGCUUGAUCUUUUUCUUUUUUCUUUUUUCGAUGCAUUUACCAGUUACCAGCUCUAACACAAAAAAAAAUAUUAUUACAUUCGUUUAUAUUCAAUCUUCAUAUAUUUUUUCCUUUUUCUUUUCGUUAUUCUUUCCUUCUAGCAACUGAUUUCCCUGGCUGGGCAUGGAGAAUAAGGAAAGACAUGAAAAGGGAAUUAGGACGAGAGGGUGGAAAGUAGUCGGAAUCAGAAAUAUAAUAUACCACAAAUUAGACAGCACAGGAACCAAAAGAUACCACAAAUUUAACUUUAUUAGAAGGUCACCCAUAGAUAAACAAGAACACACAGAUGCCUGACAGGAAUAAAACAUUAAUUCAGCUAUAACGACAGGAAGCAUUGACGAGCUAGGACGCUCCAUAUUUUCUAACAAACGCAGUAAGUCAUAGUAAUAUCUCUCGCUCUUGUUGGGUUCGAUCAUAUGGUUAGAUCCGAUGCGCUAUGGGACGUGGUAUGGUAACCAAAACCCCAGAUUCAAGACAGAGUAUUUGAUGAUUUGAUCCAUACCAUGGAUUCAGUGCUGUCUAGGUUUGUGGUUCAAGAGCAUCUGGCGGAGCUCAGCAGCGUCAAUCUCUUUAGCAUGACUCUCUGGCCUGUAGUAACCAGUUACUGGGUCUGGCACCCAUGAUGUUGUCUUCUUGCUUGAUUCUUCCCCACCUUUCUUCAU